rnacentral:lncRNA from 1 species
AUGAAUAUAAAAAUAUAAUUAUAAAAAAAAAAAAAUUAAGUUAUCCAAUAUGUAUUUUUGUUGACAAAAACGAUUUUACUUAUAUUUAAUCCACUUACACCUACAAUCCUACAACAAUGACAAAUGUGAAUAAUCAUGUGACAAAAACCACUACAUUAACCAAGUGCAAAUAAACAACCAAAUUCAGUAUUCGCCGUAUAACUAAAUAAUUGAAAUGUUUUCAUAAACUAAAGUCAAAUACGCCUAAUACUUGUGAAGGCUUGUGAACACUCCCCUUUCAACCAUCCUGCUACUUGUACACCACUCCUAAAAUAAAAUGGGAAAAAGUUAUAACACAAAAAAUGAACAUUGUUCAAAAUUGUAUAGUAAAAUAAGAUCUUGAUGUGAUUUAAUAAAGGAGAAAUUUAAACAAAAAUUGAGAAAUAAUGCCUAAAGGGUUGUGCUUGUAACUAAGCUCAUGGAAGGCUAUUCAUUAAUUUAAUGAAUCGUGAACUUAAACCAGCAAACUUGGAGGAAAUUUCAAGAAAAAUUAAUCAUUAGGACAUUACGUUGUAUAGAGAAAACAAAGUCACUCAAUAAUUUUUCACUUCAAGAACAACCAAUCAUUAUGAAAUUAACAUAACCAUAGCUUUCAUUUUCUAUUACAACAUUUUACUUCUUAAUUUAUUCUCAUUAGGGAAUUGUACUUUGAAAGUAAGUAGCUAUUUCCUGCAUUUAACCAAAAGUAAAAAUUAGCAACUUACUAUCAUUUAUCAGCAAAAAAUAAGCAACUUACUUUUAUUUCUUUCUCUUACGUGCCUACCACUGCCUACAACAUAAUAAAAAGCUUGAGUUUUUUGUUCUAUGUCCGCUUUCAGCACAAUUAACUUCCUUUCUACAAGAGAGAUUGAUGCUUUGAAAAAAAUUGCAAUCUUCGUUUAAUAAUGAAUCUAAAAAGAUUAAUCAAGUUACUUACCUGGAGUUUUAACGGUGGCGAUUAUAAUCUCUUUUCUCUAAAAGUAACUACAUUUUAGGAAGAAAUAGUUGGUUUUUCUACUUCAUAAGAGUAAGUGCAUCGCAAAGAGAUUGUAUUCUCCCAAUAAACUAAUAAUUUUUUUUUCCAAAUGAUUAGUAUAGUUCCCUAACUUAUUUUUGCUUCACAUCUUGCAUCCACAAUACUCCCUUGCAAUAUAAUCAAGGGUUCAAGCAACCUCCUUUAACACCCCCUACAAUAAAACCAAAAGUACCAAAACCUUGAAAUUUGGAACAAUUACAUCGGAACACAUGGUUUUUUACAAUUUAUAGAUACAUUAUUGAAUUACAAGUAAAUCAAUUUAAAAAUACUUACGUUUGAAUCCCUGGAGGCAUGUUAUCAAUUGUUAUAAUGGCAGAGCAUAAGAAACUGGAGCAUUUAUUUGUUACCAUCACCAUUGUGUCUGAAGGGCAAAGCGAUCAUAAUUCUAAGUGAUGAAUAAACGAAUUUAGAUUGUAUUCUGGAAAUUAUCAAGAUAAGGUGCAAAAGAACAAAUAAGAGAAAAACACUCAUUAGGUGAUUAUGAUUAAUGAAAAAAAUAACCAUAAGUUAAAACAUUUAGUUUCAGAUGACCAAAAAUACAAAUAAAUUAAGUUUCUUACCUUCCAUGUAUAAGGAGGUUCAUGGCAGAUACAAACACAAUCAUGAAAUUUACAAUUGGACAAAUUUACCACUUAUAAAAUUGAAUAUUUGAGAAUACCUUUUCAAGUUAAAGACCUCUAGUUAAAUUGAUUAAAACUUUAACCUGGAUAUGCCCUCAUAAUACCUUGUAUUAAACUUGCUUUUGAAACGCCUUUAUCAAAAACCAACUAAUGAUUUCAAAUGACUUAAAAAUAUCUAUUAAAAACUGUAAAAGACAACAAAAAUAUAAAUGAAUAAUUUUGAAUGGUUAAAAUUGAAGUAAUUUAACUUAGGAAGUUCAAAAGUAGUGCAUGAAAAUACACAUUAUCUAUCAGAAUAAAAAAAUUGUCUGAUCAAAGGCUUCACCUUAUUGUUUGCAACAUUCCUUUUUAUUGAAGGAAUCAACUUCUUGAAAUUAACGGUAACUCUUUACUCCAUAGCCCAGCUUCUGAUAUAAAGUAUCAGGGGCACACUAUCCUUUCGACUUAGUGUAUGUAGAUGAAGGGUCAUAAACAUUUGAAAAGCUGAUUUUCAUAAAAUUUCAAACCUCAGACCAUGUGGUUGAGAUUUAAACUUAGCCUUAUUUGCAGAGAGAGAGAGAGAGAGAGAGAGAGAGAGAGAGAGAGAGAGAGAGAGAGAGAGAGAGAGAAAACCGUGGAUCUGGAUAUUUCGAUGGUGUUGAGGAAUAUGGUAAACAAUAUAGAGAAUUGGUGUAGUAAAGUAGAUAAAUCUAAACCCUUUCCUCAUAAAACUCAUACAUACUUCUUCUUCAAUGUUCUUCCUCUGUUACUGCAACAAAAUUCAAAAUUUUAAAAAUUAAUUGGAGAUUAAACUAAAUCAGUAAGAUUUGGGUAGGGAGUCAAGUAAUCAGGAAUUAUAUGUAAAAAACUUUUAUAGAAACUUAAAUGGUUACGAAUAAAUGAUCGACAUGGGUUCAAUUCACAGGUGUUGAAAGAUCAAAAGAAUCAAAGUUAAUGUGAAAUGGAUUUCACUAUUCCUACCAUCCUUCUUGAUUUCGCUCUUCUUAGCCACCUUUCUGAAGCCGAUUUCUCCCUUUUUAGCCACCAUCCUUCCUCAUAUGCUAACGAUCAUUGGUUCCCUGAACACAGAAUGCGAUGAGGAUGAGAUUAGUCACUGAGAAAGGAAAAAGAAAUAGUGGUGGCCGAUUUCUGGAGAGGGAGUAGCAUCAUUUUGAUGAUAAUGAAAGUUAAGUGAGGACAGAGUUUAUUGAUGGUGGGUUGUGAUGUUUGAUAUUAGGGUUUCUAAAGGAGAGAUGCGAGAGAAGAGAAAGGUGGAGGCGUUUAGCAGGGAUGCUGAUGUAUCUUCCUUGUUUUAAAGAGAUAUAGUGCUAAAAUUAGGUAAUUAAAACAGUCUGCAGAUCGAAGCAAUUUAAGGAGACAUGGUCGAGAUAAUUGGGAUUCAAGUUUGAAUCUAACUAAAACUCCUCAAGUUAUGGUAUGAAUCGGUGAAGUAUGAUUGAAU